GACGAACGCUGGCGGCGUGCUUAACACAUGCAAGUCGAACGGAAAGGUCCUGCUUUGGUGGGGUGCUCGAGUGGCGAACUGGUGAGUAACACGUGAGUAACCUGUCCUUGACUUUGGGAUAACUUCAUGAAACUGGGGCUAAUACCGGAUAGGAGCUCCUGCUGCAUGGUGGGGGUUGGAAAGUUUCGGCGGUUGGGGAUGGACUCGCGGCUUAUCAGCUUGUUGGUGGGGUAGUGUCUUAGCAAGGCUUUGACGGGUAGCCGGCCUGAGAGGGUGACCGGCCACAUUGGAACUGAGAUACGGCACAGACUCCUACGGGAGGCAGCAGUGGGGAAUAUUGCACAAUGGGCGGAAGCCUGAUGCAGCAACGCCGCGUGCGGGAUGACGGCCUUCGGGUUGUAUACCGCUUUCGCCUGUGACGAAGCGUGAGUGACGGUAAUGGGUAAAGAAGCACCGGCUAACUACGUG
rnacentral:rRNA from 1 species